rnacentral:rRNA from 1 species
AUUGAACGCUGGCGGCAGGCCUAACACAUGCAAGUCGAACGGUAACAGGAAGCAGCUUGCUGCUUUGCUGACGAGUGGCGGACGGGUGAGUAAUGUCUGGGAAACUGCCUGAUGGAGGGGGAUAACUACUGGAAACGGUAGCUAAUACCGCAUAACGUCGCAAGACCAAAGAGGGGGACCUUAGGGCCUCUUGCCAUCGGAUGUGCCCAGAUGGGAUUAGCUAGUAGGUGGGGUAACGGCUCACCUAGGCGACGAUCCCUAGCUGGUCUGAGAGGAUGACCACCCACACUGGAACUGAGAACCGGUCCAGACCCCGACGGGGGGCAGCAGUGGGGAAUAUUGCACAAUGGGCGCAAGCCUGAUGCAGCCAUGCCGCGUGUAUGAAGAAGGCCUUCGGGUUGUAAAGUACUUUCAGCGGGGGGGAAGGGAGUAAAGUUAAUACCUUUGCUCAUUGACGUUACCGCAGAAGAAGCACCGGCUAACCCCGU